ACACCCAGCGGCAGCCGUUGACUCCCUCCACCCUUGCUUCCCUCUCAACCAUCUCACCUCCAUCUGUCCAGUGGAGCCAGAUGUCCCACCUUCUUGGGAGAAAUUAAUUGAGGCUCAUUUCCAGGACAGAGGGGCAAGCUGGGUCUGAGGAGCCAAGCAGAAAAACUUCCCAAAAUCACUGGGUGGGGAGGGGUCAGAGACUUACUGCUGCCCCAGCUGUUCUGACUCUGCCCCCAGCUUUUGGCCCCACCCUUUUAAAGCACCUUCAGAGGUUCCCAAUGGUGACAGUAAACAAGUCUCCACUGUCCUGGCCAUCUCUGCUGUGUUCACCCUACUCCUGAUCUUUCUGGCUGCUCAGGGACUGACAGCCAAGAUGUGAGGCUGUGAUGAGCAGGAACAGGGAGGCCUGGAGCCCCCAGCCAUUGUCAUCACUUCCCUGAUCUGCCUAAAUUCUGCCCAGCAGUCCGUGAAAAUGGUUUGCUGAUGACAUAUGUAAGGACUUUAACUCCCCUCAAGCAAUCUGCUCAUCUCAAAGGACAGAUUUGCAAUGAUCAAGAGGCGUCCUGUGAAUGCAGUUUGCAAAGGACUUAGGCACACAGCAUCUCCUUUGUUCUCACCACAAGGCUGCCGGGUGUGCAGAUGUGAGGAUUAUUUCAAUGGUGAAGAAGCAUCCUGAGAGGUUACGUAGUUCAACUAAUGUCACACCAAGAGCAGGAGAGCAUCUGGGCAUUUGGACAUGGAAGGUGUGGGGCACAAGCAUCUCAUGGCCAGGGAACGGGGGAGGAGCAUCUCAGAGCUGCAUCAGAGUUCAUGCUGGUCCUAGGACAAGAGUCAAGCACACCCUGCUUUCACCAGCUGCUGGUAGCUUUCACUCAGUGUAUGAAACCCUAAAGAGAACAGAGCUCAUCCCGUAUUGCUCAUCAGACUCCCACAAUGCUUAGUCCAACCUGGGACCCAGAAUCAAGUCUGAUGCUAAAGAAGUCUCGACUCAGGAAAACCACAAGGGUGGACUUGGGAAGACUCAACAGGUUGUAAUGACUCUCCAGCAAAUCAUGUCACCAUGCCAUUUGAUGAUGGUAGGAAGAAACAAAGCCUUGAAGAUUCAUGCAUUGAGAGAAUAAGAGUUAGUGAGUAAACCAGAUGUGUUUCAGGACUGGGACCCUGCAGUCAUCAACCACCUCACACCUGCGUCAGUAACAAACCCAAGCUACAGCAUGAUUUUUGUUCUACCUCAGCAGAUAUUUUAUAGAUGGAAAAACUGAGGCAUAAAGUGGGUAAAUACCUCCCCCAAGGUCACGAGAUAAAGAUAACGCAGUCAUCAAA
ensembl:lncRNA LINC01723 long intergenic non-protein coding RNA 1723